UACGGAGGGAGCUAGCGUUGUUCGGAAAUACUGGGCGUAAAGCGCACGUAGGCGGACUGUUAAGUCGGGGGUGAAAUCCUGGGGCUCAACCUCAGAAUUGCCUCCGAUACUGGCAGUCUCGAGUGCGGGAGAGGUGAGUGGAAUUCCCAGUGUAGAGGUGAAAUUCGUAGAUAUUGGGAAGAACACCAGUGGCGAAGGCGGCUCACUGGCCCGUAACUGACGCUGAGGUGCGAAAGCGUGGGGAGCAAACAGG
rnacentral:rRNA from 1 species